rnacentral:piRNA from 1 species
UAGAGACCCCAGAGUAAUCUAAGACUUCAGC